CGGACGGGUGAGUAACACGUGGGUAACCUGCCUGUAAGACUGGGAUAACUCCGGGAAACCGGGGCUAAUACCGGAUGCUUGAUUGAACCGCAUGGUUCAAUUAUAAAAGGUGGCUUUUAGCUACCACUUACAGAUGGACCCGCGGCGCAUUAGCUAGUUGGUGAGGUAACGGCUCACCAAGGCAACGAUGCGUAGCCGACCUGAGAGGGUGAUCGGCCACACUGGGACUGAGACACGGCCCAGACUCCUACGGGAGGCAGCAGUAGGGAAUCUUCCGCAAUGGACGAAAGUCUGACGGAGCAACGCCGCGUGAGUGAUGAAGGUUUUCGGAUCGUAAAACUCUGUUGUUAGGGAAGAACAAGUACCGUUCGAAUAGGGCGGUACCUUGACGGUACCUAACCAGAAAGCCACGGCUAACUACGUGCCAGCAGCCGCGGUAAUACGUAGGUGGCAAGCGUUGUCCGGAAUUAUUGGGCGUAAAGCGCGCGCAGGCGGUUUCUUAAGUCUGAUGUGAAAGCCCCCGGCUCAACCGGGGAGGGUCAUUGGAAACUGGGGAACUUGAGUGCAGAAGAGGAGAGUGGAAUUCCACGUGUAGCGGUGAAAUGCGUAGAGAUGUGGAGGAACACCAGUGGCGAAGGCGACUCUCUGGUCUGUAACUGACGCUGAGGCGCGAAAGCGUGGGGAGCGAACAGGAUUAGAUACCCUGGUAGUCCACGCCGUAAACGAUGAGUGCUAAGUGUUAGAGGGUUUCCGCCCUUUAGUGCUGCAGCAAACGCAUUAAGCACUCCGCCUGGGGAGUACGGUCGCAAGACUGAAACUCAAAGGAAUUGACGGGGGCCCGCACAAGCGGUGGAGCAUGUGGUUUAAUUCGAAGCAACGCGAAGAACCUUACCAGGUCUUGACAUCCUCUGACAACCCUAGAGAUAGGGCUUCCCCUUCGGGGGCAGAGUGACAGGUGGUGCAUGGUUGUCGUCAGCUCGUGUCGUGAGAUGUUGGGUUAAGUCCCGCAACGAGCGCAACCCUUGAUCUUAGUUGCCAGCAUUCAGUUGGGCACUCUAAGGUGACUGCCGGUGACAAACCGGAGGAAGGUGGGGAUGACGUCAAAUCAUCAUGCCCCUUAUGACCUGGGCUACACACGUGCUACAAUGGGCAGAACAAAGGGCAGCGAAGCCGCGAGGCUAAGCCAAUCCCACAAAUCUGUUCUCAGUUCGGAUCGCAGUCUGCAACUCGACUGCGUGAAGCUGGAAUCGCUAG
rnacentral:rRNA from 1 species